rnacentral:misc_RNA from 1 species
AAGGAUCAUUACCGAGUGCGGGUCCCUCGUGGCCCAACCUCCCACCCGUGUUGACCGACACCUGUUGCUUCGGCGGGCCCGCCAGGGCUCCCGCCCGGCCGCCGGGGGGCCUCGUCGCCCCCGGGCCCGCGCCCGCCGAAGACCCCUCGAACGCUGCCUUGAAGGUUGCCGUCUGAGUAUAAAAUCAAUCGUUAAAACUUUCAACAACGGAUCUCUUGGUUCCG